rnacentral:rRNA from 1 species
UACGUAGGGUGCGAGCGUUAAUCGGAAUUACUGGGCGUAAAGCGUGCGCAGGCGGUCUGUUAAGACCGAUGUGAAAUCCCCGGGCUUAACCUGGGAACUGCAUUGGUGACUGGCAGGCUUUGAGUGUGGCAGAGGGAGGUAGAAUUCCACGUGUAGCAGUGAAAUGCGUAGAGAUCCGGAGGAACACCAGUGGCGAAGGCGACACGCUGGGCCGUACCUGACACUGAUGCGCGACAGCAUGGGGAGCAAACAGG